rnacentral:rRNA from 1 species
UACAGAGGGUGCGAGCGUUAUCCGGAAUUAUUGGGCGUAAAGCGCGCGCAGGCGGUCCUUUAAGUCUGAUGUGAAAGCCCACGGCUCAACCGUGGAGGGUCAUUGGAAACUGGGGGACUUGAGUGCAGAAGAGGAGAGCGGAAUUCCACGUGUAGCGGUGAAAUGCGUAGAGAUCGGGAGGAAUACCGGUGGCGAAAGCGACUCUCUGGACGGCAACUGACGCUGAGGCACGAAAGCGUGGGGAGCAAACAGG